UCCAUGAAAAUAACAACUGGAUUAAGAUGCAUGUCCCCUUAACUGAAAUGUAAUCCCUAGCCGAAACCAUAAUCCCCAUGCUGAAAGCCAAUGACGUCCAACCCUCUAAUAAAAGCAAGAAUCUAACUCGACCUAUGUUCAUAACCAGGCGGUGGUUCAACUCCUAGGUGACGGCGGAUGAGAACUCAUAGCACCGGGGGAGCUGCUGAAUGCGACCGUGCAUAGUGAAAUUGUUGUACCAUUCACUACUGAAUGCGACUAUGACCAUCGCCGGGG
rnacentral:lncRNA from 1 species